UUUUUUUUGCUAGGGAAGCAAGCAAUAGUCGUAGUAUUGAAGUAUAAGCUUCUCCCAUAUUAGUGUUUGUUCCAAAAUGAACAUUUUGAACAACGCACAACACGCAUUAUGAACUUCUCCUCAACCAUCUUUUUGUUCAUUUUUUAUUUUUGUUUUUACAGUACACAAACGGUGUCCCAACUCAUAUAUUUUUUCAAGUGACAAAUUGUUAUUUUUGGAAAGAACCACAUUGAGCUAUGAAUAUGUCUGAUCGAAAAUUCAGGUUUGGGAAGCAAGUUGUGUGUGUUGGGCAACAAGGGAUACAUAAUUCUGAACCGAAAGUGUUUGUUUUGCUUCAGGCAAUAUUUCUUUCAGAUUUAGUAUAAAGAUUCAGUAAGGAUUCAUGGAAUUAGCAAUAUUAAAGCAAGAAUACCCAACAUCGCUUGUGUAGAUUCAGCCAACGAAAACCAUACAUGUGGGACUUGAACUACCGUAGAUGAAUGACAAUAGUAGAACAUAUUUAAAUUCUUGGCAUGGAAGGUCAACUUUGUUCUGCUCUCCAGAGCGUGACGCUAGCCAACACACGUCCAGCAAGCCCAUAAGCACACAUGUCUAGUAUCCAGCAACAGCAAGGAAUGCAAACCACCGCGAAGAAAAGUGCAUAGCUGUAGUAGGACUUUGGCGUAUAGUUGUUGUAGAACUUCAUGCAACGUCUAUGAACAUCCGAAUGGUUGUAAAGGGGAAAAUGAGAAAUUUUCCUGUAAAUUAGACACACACAUGCACACCCCUGCAGUUUUAUCAAGAUUGUUAAAUCCAGUUAGCACAUUUUCACAUGAGCAACACAUCCACAUGUAGGAGCACGUCUGAUGUACCUGAGAACUCAUAUAUAUGCACCUACAGGAAGAGCAUCAAGUCUCAUAUACGGUUAAACAUUUUUUCUAUAUUCUUUGGUGCACCUGAACCUUUGCAACAUUUUUACAUAAACUUCUUGUUUUAUGGGAGAGAGAGCACUUAGCCGGAGAGGGUUCACCGUUUCUAAUGCCAGAAGAGGUCAUCGGUAGGGGAGGCAGUGUAGAAAAAAUCUUUGUGGUGUCCCGCAGCCGGUGUAGAGCCGAGUAGCACGCAGCCGGUGUCCUGCGAAGGAUCUACACGAGCGAGCAGGCGAGGAGGCACUGCACGCGGAGACGAGGUUGGACUACACGACGGUCGGUAUUGGACGGUGCAUGGGCCGCCUCGGCGCUCGAAGCUGCACUAGACAAAGCCCAGGAGGACGAGCGUCAUGCAGGACUGGUGCAACAACGUGGAUUGGGGCCGACAGGACGCUGGUGGCUGGCGGUGGAGACCAGGAGGCCGGACAAGAUGGCGUUGAGCCACUGGCGGCGUUAGUGCGGAGAAGACAUAGUGUUGCGAAGCAGAGGCCACUGUAGGGAGUGUGGACAGGGGAUUGGGAGAGUGGGGCUCACCGGCCCUAGGCGGAUCCGCGCGCGUCGAUGGUCGUGGUUACCGGAUCCUCGCCGGCGCCACACGAAGGUAGCGGUGGUUACCGGAUCCUCGGUGGCGGCUUGCGGGGCAGGCGGUGGUGGCUGGAUCCGAGGUGGUGGCGAGUUGGAUAGCUGGCGACGGCGUCUCUUGUUGGGGACAGGGCGGCGACGACGGAAGCGGUCGGUGGCGGGGCGGCGGCGGCGACGGUCGGUGGCGGGGUGGUGUUGGCGACGGGCGGUGGCGGGGCCACGAGGGCGUCUCCGGUUAGGGGCGGGAUGGUGGCGCCUCGCCAGUUGGGGGUGGGUGCCUGGGUGGUGCAGGGGAUCGGGGAUCGGGGAUGGGGUGGUAGUUUUAGAAUCGGCCUUUUCUUUUUGUUUCAGCGAUUUUCGGAGGAACCCUGCCGGGCCUUUAUAGGAAGUUGUGAUUCAAAUAACUAUUCUAAUCAUAGGAUUAGAAUAGUGCUAUUAUAUAUAUAUAUAUAUAUAUAUAUAUAUAUAUAUAUAUAUAUAUAACUAUGCAUACUGUUCCGAAGUUCAAUGUUCAGUUUACAAGCAGUGCACCAAAUGUUUAUGCAUCAGUUAUAGGAAAAAAGAUUAAAAAACCUAUGCAUAACAGAUGCAUCAGUGCUGAACAUGUCCAUUCACCAGUUCGACUGAAACUAUAUCAGAUACAAAAUAGACAACAAAGUUUAAUAACGCCUAGCGAUGCAAGUUCAACUUGUACAUUACCUUCAGUGCAUGACAUGUUACCCAUAUCAUGUAUAUGAGAAAAUGCAGAAAAGAUUAAUCCCAAAACUAUUGAAUGUCAUUCCAGAAACAUGCAAGGUGGCACACGUAGGGAGGGUUUGAUGAGCCAAGAAGAUAUGAGGCACCGUCUGGCUGGGUAACACCAGAAAUAGCACCUGGAUACUUCAACAAUACAUGCAGAUUUCAAGCUACACCAGAAUCAUGAGAAGCACGGACUGGUUCUUCUAUGCAGCAGACACCGAUAUCUAGGAAUACAAGCUUUGCCACUGCUGGGGUGCAACAAGGUCAACAAUGUCCCCAACAACAAAUAUUUUCCUUUCCUAGCGCAAGCAGAAAGGCAAGGACACUCAGGCUUCCACCCGUCACUCCAUCAACAUCAAUCAUCUGUGCUACAAAAGCGGUUGCGACGGGAAGACGAGGCCAAAGAGACAGGAAUGUUUGCCACUCUAGCAGGGUGCAAAGUAGAAGAUAUGAGCCAUAUAGAUAGGAGCAACCUGCUAGUGAAUCUCAGGGAAGACGACCGUACAAUGAGAGACGGAGAGCUUCAUCAACAUUGCUGCAUGUGCCGAGGGUGACACCACCCGCGCCCAUACACCAGGGUGAACAGCAAACACCGGAUGUAGCGCGGAGCUAUGCACAUGUAAGUAUCCAUUCAGAAAAAACAUACAACCACAGUCCAUACCCUAGUACUGUGACCACCCCAUCUAACAUUUUCAUCACUGUGUUUUUGUUUGCUCACUGUUGUGUGCAGCCACCUAACAUUGAAGCUUACGUUCUGCCAAGGCUAGAGAUGCCCUUUGAAACUUUCAAAGAAGCAAAGAACUUCUACAACGUCUAUGCAAAGCACGCGGGUUUUGCUGUCAGAGAAGACUCCAAGGUUAACACCAAGUCUACCUUUAUUGCACGUGCUAUGGAGUCUAUGAAUUGAAGGUGUCAGAAGCAAAUAGAUAGCGGAACAAGACCACAGCCAGGACUAAUUGCGGGGCUAAAAUGAGGCUGAAGAGGGAAAAUGAUGGAACACUUGUCGUAAAAGAGAUAAUCUGGGAACACAACCACAGGCUACAUCUCUCCCCCAAAUGCUUGUCUUCUUGCACUCCCACAAAAACUUUGACAAAACAAUCUUGGAGUACAUCAAGUACCCGUGGUUCAAAGGCACUGAACACGCGUAAAUCAUGAGCAUACUGCGCGGUGAUGACCCCGGUAGCUACUUCCCCGAAAUGAAUGCCAAAGACCUGAUUAACAUGUAAGUACAAACUUGUUCUCCUCCCAUAAACCCCCUCCAUCUUUUUUCCUCUGUCAGUACAAACAUAUUACGCAACACAUGACCUAAUGCCAGUUCAACAUGCAUUUUUGAAUGACUGUUCACUUUUAAUAUGCAAGAAAGCAAAGAAUUCAAGGAUGGAUGAUGUGGACGAUGUCCUAAACACUGUCAACUUAUUUAGGGAGAUGAAAGCGAUAAACAAGGAAUUCUUCUGCGACAUACAACUUGAUGAGUCCGACAGAGUGAAGAACAUAUUCUGGGCGAACGCAGGCUGCCGAGGGGCAUAUCAAGACUUUGGUGACUGCGUAACGUUUGAAACCACAUAUAAGACCAACAAGUACCAUAUGCCACUUGGGGUGUUUGUGGGUACUAACAACCACUUACAGACUAUAUUCUUUGCUUUCGCCCUGAUAAUAGAUGAGGAUGCAGAUUCAUUCACAUGGUUGUUCAAAAGCAUUUUGAAGGUGCAUGAGAGGGAAGGCUCCUUCAUGCAUCCUCACAGGUACAAACGCCACCCCCAAAGGAAAAUAACAUAGUAAAAUUAUUGUGUCGGUUCUAUUUGUAUAUAUGCACUACCAUCCGCUGACCACUCCACGUCUCUUUUCUCAUUACCAGACCAGUGCCCGGCAAUGGCUUUGGCGAUCCCAGAUGCUUUCGGGGACACAGUACAUAAGCUAUGCCGCUGGCACAUUAUGAAGAAGUACAGGGAACACCUCGCAUACCUAUACAACCUCCACGAAGAGUUUAACGAUGAAUUCACAGCAAUCCUCAACUAGCCCCUCAUGCCAACUGAGUUUGAGGCUGCCUGGAAAGCACUCAUAGAUAAGUACAACCUCCAUGAUGAUGCCACAACGGUGGCAAUGUGGAACGAGCACGAGAAAUAGAUAUCAUCUUACUUCAAAGAAAUUUUCUGUGCCAAAAUGACGUCCACACAAAGGAGUGAGAGCAUGAACUAUGUGCUCAAGAAGAACUUCAUAAGUGAGAGACAAAACCUGCACCGGUUCGUCAGCCAAGUAAACUCCUGCGUCAAAACCAGGAGGCAGACAGAGAACUAGGAGACAAUAGGUAACCGGGUAUAGCUCUAUCACCUGUCGUAAGACAAAAUAACGUGCUUACUAAAGUAAAUCUUUCUUAGUUAGACAAGUUUUUGCUGUGAGAAAAUUAAUAAUUUGUUCAUGACUCUUGCUUGCACAGAAGGAACAAAACACGCUGACCUUCUAUGGGUUUGACAAUCAGAUGGCAAAGCUUUACUCAUGAGCUGUGUACAGCGAGAUCAGAAAAAGGCUAAAACUAAGCACCCUCUUCACGGUGACAGAGACGGAAGAGCCCAGAAAGUACCUUGUGCACUACAACAAACCACAAAAACUGUUUGCGUGGUCUCAGCACGCGUUCCAGGUGGUUGCAGACCCCAUGGGAGAAAUAUUUGACUGCAAGUGCAAGCUGUGGGACCACAAAGGCGAGGUCUAAAAAAGAUGUUACAUACUGUAGUACUUAUUUUUGCAAAGUUUUUGUUCGAAUGAAAUGACAGAAAACAUGCACCUCUUUCAAAAAAUAGGUAUUUUCUGCCUGCAUGUCCUAUGCAUGAUGCAUAUAAUUAAGGCUGACCGUGUUCCAGAGAAAUACAUCCUCAGGAGAUACACCAAACACCCGAACAUCCAGCCAACAUUCAACAGAAAUGACUUGAGGACAGUAGCGUCAAACAAGGCCUCCCAAUACGGCAUUGAAAGCGCACCGCUGUAGCUGAACAUGUGGGUGCACAGAAAAAGCUUGAGAAGCCAUGAGAAAAUGGCGAGGUCACAUGUCAUCAUGGAAAGACUUGACCAAGAACUCGACGCCAUGCAUUCUGCUGAAAAUGACAAUGUCGCGGACAACGAAGCCAUUGAGCAGGAUAUUGCUACAAUCUUAUCUGAGAUGAACCAUCUGGGAGCUAUUGACCCAUACGACAACGAGGAAGAGGAGCAACAGCAACCAGAGCUUGCCCAUGUGCACACUCAAGAGCAACAACAUGCUCACGUGCAAGAUCAUGAGCUUGACGGUGCUGUAGGCGAACGACAUGAAAACAGGACAUCCUACCAGCAGCAGCAGGAAAGGGUAAUUAAACCACCCAUAUUCUCAAACACAAGGGGGGGGAUAAUAAGACGCAAGCAGCGAAAGCAGCAAAAGCAGCAGCCAAAAAGCCGCCACGCCCCAUCAGACGCGUGGAAUUCGGCCCGGAUGGCAAACCUCUCGGGAUAAGGGCAUGCGGAUUCGGCAACAUGGUGACCAAUCAUAAUUACCACACAUGCCCAUAGCACACAUAUGCCACUAUCAACAAGCAAAAGCUGUAGAAGUAGAUUGGAGCCGCCCAGGUUUCUACCAAUGGAGACGACUCACGUAACAGCUACACUUGCAACAAGUGUGGGGGGACCGACGGACAUAAUGCCCGCACAUGCAAAGUGGGCAAGGAGGUCAGUGGCGCUGAACAGAAAUAGGGCAAGGUCCAAAGUUCCAAGAAAUCAAAAGAAGAGGAUGAGGAAGAAGAGUUUGACAAGAAUGGCGACCAAUCAGAUGAAGACAAUGAAGAUGACAGUAUUGGGGACGAGGAAAAUGAAACUGACGAUGAAGCUGCCAAGGCUCAAGCAGGAAAGGACGCCAACAAGGGACAACAUUCGGGGCCAGUUAGAAGGAGCUCAAGAUUGAAGAAUCCAUAGUGGUUAUGCUGCUGCAUCAACUCAAAAAUAAGCUUGUACUCUUGGUUGCCUCGGUACACAAUGAGGAAUCAUAUCAGAAACACUGUCGUUACCAAAACUUAUUUAGCUUUAUCAUCGAUUUCUCGAUCAGUACUAUAGUUAAGAUAUAAUUUGUGAUUUGUGCCCGCUGGACCAGUGACAUUAUUACAUAAACCAUUUGAUAAACCUUUUGAAUGCAGUCACAAAUAUAUUUGAAAAAAUUGAUCUGGAUUUAUGUAACGUCAACACUACUAUCGACCAGUAACUCAGCAAAAAUUUGUUAAAGAAAAUUUAAACUCUUAUUGUAGAUCAGUAUUUGAAAACAAUCAGUACAAUUUGAGUUGCUUAACAACGCUUCAAAAGUUGAAGCAAAAAAUCUUAGUACUUCAUGUACUGUUCUCAUCCAUAUGUAGCUGCUAGAAAAUUAACAAGUACUACAACUGAAAAAGUUAAGAAGCAUCAGCACACACUUAUAUUGGUCACUUGCAGACUAAGAAUGAUAGUACUAGUACACUUGAACGGAUAGUACAUAUUUACUACAAUAAAAAGUACAAAGAAGCAUUAGUUCGCAAUCCCUCAAAGAAAUAAAUGUCAGACUAAGCACAUAAGUGCUACUAUGAAUGAACUCUCAGUACAACUUAGUUUACAUGCAAGUACUAUAGUGCUAAAAAUGAUACCAGAAGACCCUUGAGAAUAAUCACAAAAACAAACACAAAAAGAAGGCAAAAACUCAAUGGAAAGAUAACACUUCCACAAAACUCACAAGAACUACAACAAAAAGUAUCAGUCCACAUUACUGGUGGAGUCAAGUAUUAGAUUCAAACCCAAAAAAAAUUAAAAAUUGACAGCCCGAAGACAGGCAAGCCCUGACACAGCUAGAUACUUGAACUCGAGCCCACGACGGAACCGUUGGCGAAUCCCUAGUAAUCGGCACAACACAGGGCCAACCAACCAGGGCACACGGGUCAUGAGAGGGAGCGAGCGUCGUGUAUAAGUGCUCAGGUAAGUAUCCAGAGGAGUUCGACCAGUAAGACUCGACAGCGCUUAUAAACAGGUCGAGAGCCCCCUCGCUUAGCGAGGUGGGACUAAACCCAGAGCACACGCACAUCCAACAGUCCUCAAAUCGCCCGCGCGGGCCAUUUGGGCCAAAAAGGGCCCAAUAGCCUCCAUCUUCUCCAAACACCCCACCCAUAAGGCCAAUUGAAUAAAGCAGAGCGCGAGGCAAAGAAAUAUAAACUACAAAAAAAAUGUUCGAAAACUGGAAAUAAAAAAGUUCAAAUACUUGUUCGCAGGAAAUAACUUUAAAUACAAAAAUAAAAAUAAUUUUAGCUCUGCACCAUAGAUGAUAAAAAUGGAAAAAAUAUGAUAUAAAAACAACAAAACUUUGAAAAGUGGAGAACUUAAUAGGCUAUAUGUUAAAUGUACAUAAUUUAAACCAGCGAAUUAAAUAUUACUUUCAAGUUCAACUACUAAAAUGCAAGAAGUUCAAAUAGAUAUUGUUUGUCAAUUAUGCUAAAUUUCUUAUUUAUAUAAAAUCUGACUAGAGCUCAACUAACGAUUUCGUCGUAAAUAAUCUACAUCCCAAAAAAACUCAGUUCAAACAUACAUACGACAUCAGUACUACAAAACCAGGAAGGGUCAGGCCACUCACCUUACAUCCACACACCAUUGUGACACCAAUUUUCAAAACCUUACGCUAUAUGAAAUUACAAUUCAGUACCCACAGCACUAAACCAUAAGUACACUAAAAAGAGAGUACAAAAACUAUAAAGGCCUAACUUAGGUUGGGACAGAUGAAAAUAAAAUAAGUCCUAGUUUUGAGGAAUAGCUCACAGUGCAGUAAAAAAAGUUUUGAUAUCAACUAGUGUAUAAGACUACAGUGCAAAAAUAAGACUUAUCCUCCACACUAAAAACAUAACAAAGUAUAUGUCACUUAAACAAUACAAAAUGCCAUCAUCACUGACCCUGAGACAUGCAAGUGGGAUAAACACCUGAUAAGUAUAGCUUAACAAGACGGAUCAGUGCGACAGUAAAAAACCCUUGGCUUGGACGGUUGGUUCUUCCAGGCCACCACCCGCGCCACCCACUGGGCGGUUGCCACGACGGACUACAAUGGUGACCCCACGACCAGUACCCCCAUGACCGGGAAGAACCGCCUCCCCCACGUCCCAAACCACGCCCUCCAAAAGCCCCAAAUCGACUCCAUCCCUGCCACAUCUCUAAAAACCACCAUUGCCGCUUCGAUCUCCACUACAAACAACCCACAAACAUCUCUGUUCCGAGCCCACAGUCGCCAGGAGGGCAAUGGCAGAGGAACCAUCUGCCAAGCGUCAUCGUGGCGAGACGUCCGACCAGAGCAGCAACCUCGACGAUGUUCAUGUCCCCGACAAGAAGCGCGAGUACACCCGAACCCACACAGGGGUUGAGCUCCACGGCAAGGAGACACUGGAGAUUGUCUGCACCAGUGAACCAGACAAGGCUGACGAGAUGAUGAGCAGGCUCAGGAUGAAGCGCGACGGCUUGUAUCCUAGCUUCAUCGGAGUUGAUGUGGAGUUUACCAAAAAAGAUGAACCUCCCCAGAUGGCAGCAGUCCUGCAGUUAUGCGUGGAGGAACUCUGCUUGGUGUACCACAUUGCAGCAGCCACAAAAUGGUGAUCCAUACUACUCUUCAUUCAUAUGUUUUAUUAGUACUACUCCCUAAAAAUUUCAUUAAACUUGUUUCCCAACUAGAUGAACUACUGUAGUUUGUGAACUGGAUGCACGAGUACAUGUUUCUCAAGUAGAUGCGCUAUAAUAUAAUUUGAAACUGAUGCACUGGAUUAGCAUCUGAAAUUGUUUCACCAGAUUAAUUUCUGAACUUGAUGUACUAGCAUAGUUUCUAAUCUUGAUGCACUAGUGUAGUUUAUAUAGUUGAUCUAUUAAAAGAUGUUUCUAAACUUGAUGUACAGAAGUAUUUUCUGAACCUGGUCUGAUGUUAUUUUCAGCAGCAAAAAGUAAAGUAAGAAUUUGGUCAAGCACUGGUAUAGGUCUUUUAUUCAACAAAAAGAAAACUAAAAUUGAAGUAAGCAGCACAUAGAUCAUUUACUCUGGUUAUAGGUUCUUGAAAUUGGUGAAGCAUUUGGUGAAGCACUGAAGAUACCAAAAAAGAAAAAUAACAUGAUGUACUUGAAUUUAAUUUCAAAACUUUGUGUACUAGUUUCUGAACUACAUUCAUCCAUGACUUAUACUAUAUAAGCAUCUACCUCAUGGAUUAUCACUUGUAAACCAAAAAACAGAAGGAUUAAAUCUUCAAAAAAGAACACUAAUCUUCAAUAUGUGUCUCCCCCUUGCAGGCCCAAGUGCCUCAAAGAAUUCCUGCAGGAGCAGAAAUUGUACACAUUUGCCGAUUUCAGCAUUGAAGGUGACAAAAGAGAAGUUGAAGAUGUCUGGUUUGGAGAUCAACCCCAAGAACUUCACCGACAUUCAGCGCAACUGGAGAGUUCUACGCAUCGGAAAAGAGUACGACUCCUUGGCUGAUGUUGCAGCCAGUGUCAUCCACCCAUUCUACAAAAGCAUGAAGAAGAAGAUAGAUAAGGAGGAAGACCACAAACUGUGGGGGAUCAGCCCGCUCCCAUACAAGCUCAUCGAGUACACAGGAAUAGAUGUGUACGCCACAUACAAGUCAUGGAAGAUAAUUGACAACAUCAUAACAGGUUGGGAAAUUUCAAAAGAGGAGGAGGCUGACCCAUACUACCACUGCCACUACGCGAUAUGAAGAGACAUCAAAGUCUGCCUUCGUGUUGCUUGCGCUUAUGCUUGUCCUUUAACUUGUUGUUUCAAAUUUGUAGUUUGCUUUUGUUAGGUUGAGCCAGCUUUCUUAUGCCAUGUGUGUCAGGGUUGAACAAGUUUGCUUAUGUAAUCAAGUACAUCGUUCGCUUGUGUCAUUGAACAAGUUUGAUAGCUUUCUAUUUUGUUUAUCCAUCAUUUGAAGUUGAAGUAAGUUGUGAAUGAAACUUUGUGGCUGCUAUGCAACACUAGUCAUGGAGCAACAAAUCACAGAUGGAUAUUUUCACAAAAUAGUGGCAGACUAAAAACAAUAACAAAUAGUAGCCUUGGACGCUCAGUACAACUUUGUCCUAUAUUGUAGUACUAUCACACUAAAAAUUAGUUUUUAGUUUCAGAAGAACACUAAAAAUACUAAGUUGCAGCCGAGGACAACAUUCAGUACUAAUAGCAUCAUGCUUAUAGUCAUUAGAAAAUUACUAAGUACUACAACAGGAAAAACCAAGAACCAUCAGUACGUAUUUCAUAGUCACUAGCAUACUAGGUGUGAAAGUACUGGUACACUUGAACACAUAGUACAUCCAUUCUACAAAAAUAAAAAGGAACGGGAAGUGUCAGUUCGCAUUCCCUAAAACAGUGACACACUAAGAAUAAUAGUGCUAGUACAAUUGAAAUCUCAGUACAACCUAGUUUAUACGACAAGUACUAUGAUGAUACCAAAUAAUGCCUUGAGAAUAACCACAGCCUAGAAAAAAGAAGGCCAAAACUAAAUCAAAAAGAUGUCAGUUCGACCAAGGAGAAAAAACACAAGAACCACAACAGAAGCACCAGUCCAAAUUGACCAAUGAGGUACUAGUUUCAAACAAUACAAAACAAAAUGAUCAUGGUGCUAGUACAAUUGAAAUCUCAGUACAACUUAGUUUAUAUGGUAAGUGCUAUGAUGAUACCAAAUAAUGCCUUGAAAAAGAAGGCCAAGACUCAAUCAAAAAGAUUACAGUUCAAUCAAGGACAAAAAAUCACAAGAACAAACAACAGAAGCAUCAGUCCACAUUAACCAGUGAGGUACUAGUUUCAAACAACCAAAAAAAUGAUGACCACCCAUGGACAGGCCAACCAUGCACAGGAGGAUACACUUGGACUCAAGCCCAUGACGGAACCAUUGGCGAAUCCAUAGUAAUCGAGACUAUGCGGGCCAGCCGUCAAGGGCCAACAGGUCAUGGAAUAGAGAGCGAGCGCCGUGUAUAAGCGCCCAGGUUAGUAUAUAGAGGAGUUCAACAGGCAAGGAACAACAAUGCUUAUAAACCGGUCGAGAGCCCCCUCGGCUAGCGAGGUGGGACUAAACUUAGAGCACUUGCAUAGCCAGCAGUCCACAGUCAUGUGCACGGGCUAUUUGGGCAAAAAAAGGGCCCAAUACGACUACUACUCCCUCCUCUCCAAACUCUCCUCGCCCCACCCCAUAAGGCCCGCUGAAUAAACCAGAGCGCGUGCCAAAGAAAAUAUAAACUAGUACAAAAAAGUUCGAAAACUUAAUAUAGAAACGCUCAAAUACAUGUUUGCACGCAAAAUAAUUCUAAAUUCAAAUACAAAAAUAAAAUAAAUUUACCUCUUCAGCACAGAUAAAAGGAUUAAAAAUAUGCUACAAAAACAAAUAUACUUUGAAGUUCAACUAUAUAUGCUACAAAAAUAAUUAUGAACUUAAUAGGGCUAUCUGUUAAAUGUAGCUAAUUUAACCAGUGCUUUAACUUUUACUAUGAAGUUGAACUACUAGAAUGCAAGAAGUUCAAACAAAUAUUUGGCUCUCAAUUUUGCUAAAUUUCUUAUACAAGGAAGCAUCACUCCACUCAUGCUAGAUCCACAAAUACUAUUGUGACACCAAAUUUUAAAAGCCUUAUGUUGUAUGAAAUUACAAUUUGGUACUCACAGAACUAUACCAUAAGUACAAGAAAAGAGGGUACAUAAACUAUAAAGGUCCAACUUAGGUUGGGACCGAUGAAAAUAAAAUAAAUGUCACCUUUUCAGCAACAACUCGUAAUGCACUUGGAAAAAAGUGUUUUAGUUCAACUAGUAUAUAAGACUUCAGUGCAAAAAUAAAACUUAACCAAAACAAAUUCCCGAUAAAACAUACACAAGUGAAACAGCUGUUCAACCACAUUCUCAUCAUGGAAAAAAGUUUGUAAAACGUUGUGCCACACUUAAAAACAUCACAAAGUAUACCGGUUAUUACAUAGUUGACAAGACACCCAAACACUACAUACAAAGCCUACAAUGCUUUCAAGACAUAAAUCACACAAGUAUCCCAUUCACUAUGCAAAUGAUAACCAUUUGUUCUAUGCACCAGGAGCCAAAGCUUGAACCUCCUCGGGAAGCUUGUAGCACCCCAGCUUAGAGCAACCAGUUUACCUUGCAUUGCCAGCCUAGAGAUCAAGUCUUCUGGCAACACACAACAACUUGGUACAAAAAACAACCACUUUAUUGAUGCUAGCAGAAACAUAGGUUCAAUAUUACAUCAAGUAGCGAGGCCAAGCAGCACACACGGUGCGGCUGAACAAUAUGUACAUUAUUUAAUGAACAUGAAGGGGCCUCGAUCACGAUAACUACGCGACAGCGGAACGACGACGAAGCGGAACUCCAUAGCACAGGGACACCGAUGUGGACACGAUCUAGACACGGGAAGCACUUCGAUCCGGUAAGACUUUCCUGAAAUCUGGCAUGACACGCCAGGUCAGUACAUUGAAUGUACUUGCAAGCUCACAACAAGCAUAAGCAUAAUGGCAAACAAUAUCAUGACAAUUAAUCAAUUUAAAUGGAAUGCAAUAACAUACUACUAAUGUAGUGAAUAAAACUUGUGCACCGAGUCCCUCGGACUCUCUUACCAAACGGGUUACCUCGUAACCAAGAUCAUCAUACGGUGAUCACUCCCGGAUCACAGACGAACCAACACUUUGGUUCCGACGAUAACGACCAUCUUCAUGGUCUCACAAAUCCCGUCACAUAAUCAGUGCCAAGCAUAUAAGUUUAGUGUGCAAGAUUACUUAAUCAUGUUGAUCCAUGGUGUGAUCUACUUACGAGCUGUGUCCGUAACUGAGGAUGCGGCUAUCGAUAGAUUUAAUAAACACUCUGCGGAGGUAGUAGACUGGACCCACACUACGGAACCCAUGGCCGUGUCUCGUCUCUCUUCCGCAUGAGGCGUGCGAGCCGCGAGGUACCCCUCGAUGCUGGAAAGCCUCGUGGACCGCGGAGGAACGGAUGGGAUAUUCGGGGCUGACCCAGUUGAAACCCAGUGUGCCAAACGGCACUCUUGGGCUUUUAGGGGCUUUAAGCCUGACGGGGAAAUCCACUAAAAAACCCUGUGAUCGCAGUGUGCCAAACAAGGCCUCAUGCCUUGUUAGGCAGGAAGGGUUUUCAAGCCCCAAUGGGGCUGGGGAUUAUUGGGGAUUUGGUGAACCCCUCCCCGCACCAAAUCCCCUCAAAUCCACUUCCGCCUCCCAAGCCCCUUCCCCAUCUAUCCAUAUAUGAGUGUUUGGCAUGUAGGGACAAAUUUGGUCCAUUUUAAACAUGAACUUCAACAACACACUGGUAAAAAUCCGAUCUUUACUAUUGAACAGGCUGAAGCAUCAGUGGCCAUAUCAUCAAGUACUACUAAAAGCAACAAAUCAUAAUCUUUAAGAUCAAUGGCAUCUAAACUAAGAACAUCAAAGGCCAUACAACACGAUCAGAUCAUAGUUUAAACAUCAUAUGUCAAACACAGGCAUGCAUCAGCAUGUACCAACGACACCUAGGGUGCAACACAAACAUCACUUAAAUUCGGUUUCUGCUUCCCAGCAUAGUUUCAGUUUCGCAACGACAGGCAUGCAUCACUUCAGUUCCAUCGCAUCCCUGAAAGUAGCAACUCAAUCAAAACAUUAGACAUACCAGUCAAACAAUUCACAGCUACAAGAGUACUUCAAAUACUUUCUGAAGAAAGAAAAGUAACAGGGGGGAAAUAUGGCAUGGAGCCCGUUUCUUAUACUUCAUGAUCUAAAACAGAUGGACUCACUCUCCUUUGUCAAAAAGUAUAACAAAAUUUAUAUGUGAUGUACUUGAGCCAGAUUUAACUUGAUGCAAACAGAGAAAAGCAAGCUCUAGCAUCAGGUCACAUAGAUAUCUCACAUCGAGUACUAGCACUGGAAACUCACAACUAAAAAUUUAUACGUACAUACCAUAUAUACACUACAGAAGGUUGACAGAAACUCUUUGCAUAUACACUGCGGAUCAUAUAUAUGUACAGAUCAUAUCUAUGUACAUCUCAAAACUAAAAAUUUAUAUGUACAGAUCAUAUAUACAACUACAAAUUUUGAUUUAGUAUGAUUGUUCAGUACCAAAGUGUAUCUAUUUCUCUAACAAAAACACUACAAUUACUUUCUUGCUGAUUGCCCAACAUUAUGGUUUAGUUUCUUCCUACUAUUUGCCCUUUAUUCAAAUUAGUAUGCAUACAAAGCAUUCAUUCACAAGAAAAACAUGUUUGUUCCAAGCUAAUCAGGAAUAGGAGCUUAUGUAUAUUCUCAGUUCGGAGAUGAGAAAUUGAUUUCUAGCUAAUCAGGAAUAUGAGCUUAAGAACAAGACCAAGCAAGCAAGAACAUUAUGAACCAGAUCAAAAUACCUCUUCUAGGUAGGCAACUCAUCCAUUUCGCUCCGAAGCCACAUGACCGCACUCUCUUCUUGAAGUUUGAUGAACAUGUAAGAUAACAAAGAGCUCGCUAUUACAUUAUAACAAAGAGCAUCAUAAAUGUUUGUUCUAAGCUAAUCAGGAAUAAGAGCUUAAUUAUAUUCUCAGUUCAGACAUGUGCAUGCAUAUGCUCAGUUAGCAACCACAUAAAUAUACUACAACUAGUCAUCUCAGAUGAGAAAUUGAUUUCUAGCUCUUGUCUGCAUGUAUUUUACUCAUCUUAGCAAAUCACACCAGUAACAGUUAACUUCGACCAGUUUUGAAUUUCAUCAACAUCUAACACAGGACAAUGUAGAUAUAUUUUUAGCACAUAGUGCCAAAAUUAAUCAGAUUGAUGUUAUACCAAUGAAACUUAUGUGCAGCAAAAUGAUUCUCUACUCACAUUUCUGCACUACAUCCAAUUGUCAAUAUCUAAUACAAAAUGGUUGGCUGUAUUUUGUUACUUUGUUAUCAGAUAUGUACUAUAUGCUAAUAAUAAUGGGAUUUUUUUUACUAUGGAGUAUAAAAUCAGUACAGAAAGGUAGAGAUCCUACUUGAGCAUCUACAUGUAUAAUUUUAAGGCAUAGAUAAAUGACAUCAAAAAAGGGUUGGAGUUGUCUUGAAUAGUAGUCCAGAUCUUGCAGCAACUAACUUCAAAUAGGGGGAGGUGGAAUGUUAUGGGGAAGCAGGCAGAGGAACAACAGGGAGGGUCUCUCACAGCGGUUGUGCUGGAAAGGGGAGAGGAGCUGGUGGN
rnacentral:lncRNA from 1 species